CUACGGGGUGCUGCAGUCGAGAAUCUUCCGCAAUGGGCGAAAGCCUGACGGAGCGAUGCCGCGUGAGGGAUGACGGCCUUCGGGUUGUAAACCUCUGUCAGAAGGGACGAACUAUGACGGUACCUUCAGAGGAAGCCACGGCUAACUACGUGCCAGCAGCCGCGGUAAUACGUAGGUGGCGAGCGUUAUUCGGAUUUACUGGGCGUAAAGGGUCCGCAGGGGGUUUGUCAAGUCGGAUGUGAAAUCCCGUGGCUCAACCACGGAACUGCAUUCGAUACUGGCGAACUGGAGUCUGCAAGGGGUGAGCGGAAUUCCUGGUGUAGCGGUGGAAUGCGUAGAUAUCAGGAAGAACACCGAUGGCGAAGGCGGCUCACUGGUGCAGUACUGACCCUCAUGGACGAAAGCGUGGGUAGCGAACAGGAUUAGAUACCCGAGUAGUC
rnacentral:rRNA from 1 species